UACGGAGGGUGCGAGCGUUGUCCGGAAUCACUGGGCGUAAAGGGCGCGUAGGUGGCGUCGCAAGUCAACGGUGAAAGCUCGGCGCUCAACGCCGAGUCGGCCGUCGAGACUGCGAGGCUCGAGCACUGUAGGGGCAGAUGGAAUUCCGGGUGUAGCGGUGGAAUGCGUAGAGAUCCGGAAGAACACCGGUGGCGAAGGCGGUCUGCUGGGCAGUUGCUGACACUGAUGCGCGACAGCGUGGGGAGCGAACAGG
rnacentral:rRNA from 1 species